GGAGAAGCAGCAGGUUGCUUCAAGGACCAAUCAGCAAGAAAGCUAAGGUGGAAGACAAACCAGUCUCAGCUUCCCAGAACAGUACAUCUGCUGAAGAAAGGGACGAAGAGUCAGCAGAAGUAAAGGAAACAAAUGUCAAGGCUGAGUCCCCACAGACAACAUCCAGAAAUGAAAAUGAAGCUGAUAUGAUGGAAGAAAG
rnacentral:lncRNA from 1 species